rfam:Burkholderiales bacterium RIFCSPHIGHO2_12_FTLL_61_11 rifcsphigho2_12_scaffold_209995, whole genome shotgun sequence.
GCCUUGCGCCUGAAAGGGCGACAGCACACGCUGGAGCGAGAAGUCAGCAGAGGUCGUAGUAGUUCGAGUAGGGCGCCGCUGAGGCAGAACCGAAAGGGCGAAGGAC